rnacentral:rRNA from 1 species
GGGCCCGCACAAGCGGAGGAACAUGUGGUUUAAUUCGAUGAUACGCGAGGAACCUUACCCGGGCUUGAAUUGCAGAAGAAGGAUCCAGAGAUGGUGACGCCCUUCGGGGCUUCUGUGAAGGUGCUGCAUGGUUGUCGUCAGCUCGUGCCGUGAGGUGUCGGCUUAAGUGCCAUAACGAGCGCAACCCCUCUCUUCAGUUGCCAUCAGGUCAUGCUGGGCACUCUGGAGACACUGCCACCGCAAGGUGUGAGGAAGGUGGGGAUGACGUCAAAUCAGCACGGCCCUUACGUCCGGGGCUACACACGUGUUACAAUGGGGAGUACAGAGAGCCGGGGUCCCGCAAGGUCCCCCCAAUCACUAAAGCUCCUCCCAGUUCGGACUGGGGUCUGCAACCCGACCCCACGAAGCUGGAUUCGCUAGUAAUCGCGCAUCAGCCAUGGCGCGGUGAAUACGUUCCCGGGCCUU